UACGGAGGGUGCAAGCGUUAUCCGGAUUCACUGGGUUUAAAGGGUGCGUAGGCGGACAGGUAAGUCCGUGGUGAAAUCCUGCAGCUUAACUGCAGAACUGCCAUGGAUACUAUCUAUCUUGAAUGUCGUGGAGGUUAGCGGAAUAUGUCAUGUAGCGGUGAAAUGCUUAGAGAUGACAUAGAACACCCAUUGCGAAGGCAGCUAACUACGCGAUAAUUGACGCUGAUGCACGAAAGCGUGGGGAGCAAACAGG
rnacentral:rRNA from 1 species